rnacentral:rRNA from 1 species
AGAGUUUGAUUCUGGCUCAGGACAAACGCUGGCGGCGUGCAUAAAACAUGCAAGUCGAACGAACCAAAGCCCGCAAGGGCUGAGGUGAGUGGCGAACGGCUGAGUAACACGUAGGUGACCUGCCCCGAAGUGGGGGACAACUCGUCGAAAGACGAGCUAAUACCGCAUGUGAUCACUGAUUCACUUCAGUGCUCAAAGUCGCAAGACGCUUUGGGAGGGGCCUGCGGCCGAUUAGCUAGUUGGUGGGGUAAUGGCCUACCAAGGCUGCGAUCGGUAGUUGGUCUGAGAGGAUGACCAGCCAGACUGGGACUGAGACACGGCCCAGACUCCUACGGGAGGCAGCAGUUAGGAAUUUUGUGCAAUGGGGGAAACCCUGACACAGCCACGCCGCGUGCGGGAUGAAGGCCUUCGGGUCGUAAACCGCUUUUCUCGAGGAAGACACCCGACGGUACUCGAGGAAUAAGCAACGGCUAACUACGUGCCAGCAGCCGCGGUAAUACGUAGGUUGCGAGCGUUGUCCGGAUUUACUGGGCGUAAAGCGCGCGCAGGCGGUUUCGAAAGUCCACGGUGAAAGCUCCCGGCCCAACUGGGAGAGGCCCGUGGAAACUCCGGAACUUGAAGGCAGGAGAGGCAGAUGGAAUUUCCGGUGUAGCGGUAAAAUGCGUAGAUACCGGAAGGAACACCAGUGGCGAAGGCGAUCUGCUGGCCUGUUCUUGACGCUCAGGCGCGAAAGCUAGGGGAGCGACCGGGAUAAGGAUCUUGUCCCCUCCGGCAGUAAUGCCGGUGACCAAUCCCUGCUAUAUCGGUGAAAGUCCCACCCGAUACUUCUGGUGGGAUAACGCCGAGGGAAGUCCAGAACAACACGAGCGAGCUGAACGCGUUCCAGCAGGCGGUCUUGGUGGGCACGUUGCUAGGCGAUGGAAGCAUCGCAAAGCACGGCUAUCACCACAGACUCUUCAUCAAACACAAGGCGGCGCAUCUUGCGCUCGCCGCGUGGAAACGUG